GUUAACCACGGAUUAUCUCUGAAAAGCCAUAAUCACACGUCGUUAUUUGUUCGGGUUCUGUACGGUCGGUCGUAAUAUUUUCGGAAAAAAAUGUUGCAUUAAAUAUUGUUGGACGAAAAUAUUUUUCUUCAAAUUAAUUUUUCGGCUGAACUACGGUUCGACUGAUCGGACGCCGUUGAAAUCCGCACAUUUUUCGUAAUGU